UUUGGCGGGCCGCGGUCCUCCGCACCGGCGCCCUUCGGGGGGCUGGCCAGCGCCCGCCAGAGGACCAUAAAACUCCAGUCAGUGAACUUCGCAGUCUGAAAAACAAGUUAAUAAACUAAAACUUUCAACAACGGAUCUCUUGGUUCUGGCAUCGAUGAAGAACGCAGCGAAAUGCGAUAAGUAAUGUGAAUUGCAGAAUUCAGUGAAUCAUCGAAUCUUUGAACGCACAUUGCGCCCCUUGGUAUUCCGAGGGGCAUGCCUGUUCGAGCGUCAUUUCAACCCUCAAGCUCUGCUUGGUAUUGGGCUUCGUCCUCCACGGACGCGCCUUAAAGACCUCGGCGGUGGCGUCUUGCCUCAAGCGUAGUAGAAAACACCUCGCUUUGGAGCGCACGGCGUCGCCCGCCGGACGAACCUUUGAAUUAUUUCUCAAGGUUGACCUCGGAUCAUGUAGGGAUACCCGCUGAACUUAAGCAUAUCAAUAA
rnacentral:rRNA from 1 species